rnacentral:rRNA from 1 species
GAUGAACGCUGGCGGCGUGCCUAAUACAUGCAAGUCGAGCGAACAGACGAGGAGCUUGCUCCUCUGACGUUAGCGGCGGACGGGUGAGUAACACGUGGAUAACCUACCUAUAAGACUGGGAUAACUUCGGGAAACCGGAGCUAAUACCGGAUAAUAUAUUGAACCGCAUGGUUCAAUAGUGAAAGACGGUUUUGCUGUAACUUAUAGAUGGAUCCGCGCCGCAUUAGCUAGUUGGUAAGGUAACGGCUUACCAAGGCGACGAUGCGUAGCCGACCUGAGAGGGUGAUCGGCCACACUGGAACUGAGACACGGUCCAAACUCCUACGGGAGGCAGCAGUAGGGAAUCUUCCGCAAUGGGCGAAAGCCUGACGGAGCAACGCCGCGUGAGUGAUGAAGGUCUUCGGAUCGUAAAACUCUGUUAUUAGGGAAGAACAAAUGUGUAAGUAACUAUGCACGUCUUGACGGUACCUAAUCAGAAAGCCACGGCUAACUACGUG